UACAGAGGGUGCGAGCGUUGUCCGGAAUCACUGGGCGUAAAGGGCGCGUAGGUGGCGGCCCAAGUCCAUGGUGAAAGCUCGAUGCUCAACAUCGAGUCGGCCACGGAUACUGGGUUGCUCGAGCACUGUAGGGGCAGAUGGAAUUCCGGGUGUAGCGGUGAAAUGCGUAGAGAUCGGGAGGAAUACCUAUGGCGAAAGCAGGCUUCUGGGCCGUCACUGACGCUGAGCUGCGAAAGCUAGGGGAGCAAACAGG
rnacentral:rRNA from 1 species